rnacentral:miRNA from 1 species
UGGAAUGUGAUAAGGUGCUU